rnacentral:rRNA from 1 species
GCUUAGGUGGGAGGAGAAAAGGCUCCCCCAAGGCCAUUGAUACGUACCCGCACCGGAGAGGGUUAUUCGCCCCACUUGGGGAUUGAGACCCCGGCCCCAGAUUUCUUACGGGAGGCCACCAGUAGGGAAUUUUUCCACAAUGGACGCAAGUCUGAUGGAGCAACGCCCGCGUGAGUGAAGAAGGGUUUCGGCUCGUAAAGCUCUGUUGUUAAAGAAGAACGUGGGUAAGAGUAACUGUUUACCCAGUGACGGUAUUUAACCAGAAAGCCACGGCUAACUACGUGCCAGCAGCCGCGGUAAUACGUAGGUGGCAAGCGUUAUCCGGAUUUAUUGGGCGUAAAGCGAGCGCAGGCGGUCUUUUAAGUCUAAUGUGAAAGCCUUCGGCUCAACCGAAGAAGUGCAUUGGAAACUGGGAGACUUGAGUGCAGAAGAGGACAGUGGAACUCCAUGUGUAGCGGUGAAAUGCGUAGAUAUAUGGAAGAACACCAGUGGCGAAGGCGGCUGUCUGGUCUGCAACUGACGCUGAGGCUCGAAAGCAUGGGUAGCGAACAGGAUUAGAUACCCUGGUAGUCCAUGCCGUAAACGAUGAUUACUAAGUGUUGGAGGGUUUCCGCCCUUCAGUGCUGCAGCUAACGCAUUAAGUAAUCCGCCUGGGGAGUACGACCGCAAGGUUGAAACUCAAAAGAAUUGACGGGGGCCCGCACAAGCGGUGGAGCAUGUGGUUUAAUUCGAAGCUACGCGAAGAACCUUACCAGGUCUUGACAUCUUCUGACAGUCUAAGAGAUUAGAGGUUCCCUUCGGGGACAGAAUGACAGGUGGUGCAUGGUUGUCGUCAGCUCGUGUCGUGAGAUGUUGGGUUAAGUCCCGCAACGAGCGCAACCCUUAUUACUAGUUGCCAGCAUUAAGUUGGGCACUCUAGUGAGACUGCCGGUGACAAACCGGAGGAAGGUGGGGACGACGUCAAAUCAUCAUGCCCCUUAUGACCUGGGCUACACACGUGCUACAAUGGAUGGUACAACGAGUCGCGAGACCGCGAGGUUAAGCUAAUCUCUUAAAACCAUUCUCAGUUCGGACUGUAGGCUGCAACUCGCCUACACGAAGUCGGAAUCGCUAGUAAUCGCGGAUCAGCAUGCCGCGGUGAAUACGUUCCCGGGCCUUGUACACACCGCCCGUCACACCAUGAGAGUUUGUAACACCCAAAGCCGGUGGGGUAACCUUUAGGAGCUAGCCGUCUAAGUGACAGAGAUCGC